GAUGAACGCUAGCUACAGGCUUAACACAUGCAAGUCGAGGGGUAACGAGAGGAAAGCUUGCUUUCCUUGUCGACGACCGGCGCACGGGUGAGUAACGCGUAUCCAACCUGCCCCCAACUAGGGAAUAACCUUGCGAAAGUAAGACUAAUACCCUAUAAUUUCCUCAGAUGUCAUCUGACGAGGAAUAAAGAUUUAUCGGUUGUGGAUGGGGAUGCGUUUGAUUAGCUUGGUGGCGGGGUAACGGCCCACCAAGGCAACGAUCAGUAGGGGUUCUGAGAGGAAGGUCCCCCACAUUGGAACUGAGACACGGUCCAAACUCCUACGGGAGGCAGCAGUGAGGAAUAUUGGUCAAUGGGCGGAAGCCUGAACCAGCCAAGUAGCGUGCAGGAUGACGGCCCUAUGGGUUGUAAACUGCUUUUAUACAGGAAUAAAGUUAGCCACGUGUGGUUAUUUGUAGGUACUGUAUGAAUAAGGACCGGCUAAUUCCGUGCCAGCAGCCGCAGUAA
rnacentral:rRNA from 1 species